UACGGAGGGUGCGAGCGUUGCUCGGAAUCACUAGGCGUAAAGCGUACGCAGGCUGUCUCGUAAGUCGGGUGUGAAAGCCCGGGGCUCAACCCCGGGAGGCGGAUGGAUACUGCUUGGCUCGAGUCCGGAAGAGGCGAGUGGAAUUCCCGGUGUAGCGGUGAAAUGCGCAGAUAUCGGGAGGAACACCAAUGGCGAAGGCAGCUCGCUGGGACGGUACUGACGCUGAGGAGCGAAAGCGUGGGGAGCGAACAGG
rnacentral:rRNA from 1 species